ensembl:lncRNA
GUCUUCAGCGGUAACCACAGUGACAGACGUGCGUCACUCGAGCGUUAAAAACUUGUUCUUUCAACUUGAAAGCGGAAACUUUUUCAGUCUCUAAUAUUCCUGUGAAUAAAAGCACGUUUACCUGCGCUUUGGACAGAAAUAACAACAUUUAUACUUCUGAUAAACAAACGAUGGACAAACUAUUCCAAACACCUUCGAUGAGGACUGUCAUCGUUCUCAAUUUCCUAAGGAAUGCGAGUCAGAUGCGUCACCAUCCGUACCUUUACGCCCAGGCCUGCACUGAUUUUACAAUGGACUGGCCAUCCUGCAGGCGACCACGGCCUGUAUUUUCAAUGUAUGGACCUCCCAUCUCUGAACCAGGUUGUGGUGGUACCCACACCGGGGAGGAAGGAGGCCAUCUGUGGGAUCAACAACACAUCUUGCCUGGCAGCAUGAGCCAACCUCCUGAGGUCACUGAAAGCAUUUGCUCUCCAAACCAGCUCAGCUUUGCUUCCACUGAUCCUAAUGCAGCUCAUGUCUCUGACAUUGUUGGAAACCUAUUCCUCUACAGCCCUAUUUCUGACUUAUCUGGAUGUGUGGCUGAUGGCUUCCCUCUGCAGAGACAAACUGUUACUGAAGCUGAGGAACAGAAUGUUUAACCCCAACAAAACCUUGACUCUGUUUUUAGGCCAAGUUACAGACGAUCCUCCAGCUCAGAGAAUGCUCAACCUGUGAACACUUGUAGUGUAAAUAUAUAAUGUAUAUAAUCCUCAUAUCCCUUUUAUCAAAUCAAAUAUUCAGUAUUUAAAAUGUGAUGUGUUAUUUAAACUGUUUUACACUUUU